rnacentral:rRNA from 1 species
UAAAGCAAGAAAGGGCGUAUGGGGAAUGCCUAGGCACACUCCGGCGAAGAAGGACGCAGCAAACAGCGAAAUGCGACGGUGAGCGGUAAGCACGUGAAGAGCCGUCGAUAUCCGAAUGGGGGAACCCACACGGAGUCAUAUCCGUGUAUCACAUGUCGAAUACAUAGACAUGAUGAGGCGAGACGCAGGGAACUGAAACAUCUAAGUACCUGCAGGAAGAGAAAAUAAGAAUGAUUUUCUGAGUAGCGGCGAGCGAAAGGGAAAGAGCCCAAACCGAUUUGAGGAUCGGGGUAGUAGGAUCAUCGAUAAAUCAAACAGAGGAUCAUAGAGGAAUCACAUGGGAAGGUGAGCGAGAGAGGGUGAGAGCCCCGUACUCGAAAUGAGAGACUGGAGAGAGAUGACACCUGAGUAGGGCGGGACACGAGAAAUCCUGUCUGAAUCAGCCGGGACCAUCCGGCAAGGCUAAAUACGAGAGAGUGACCGAUAGUGAACCAGUACCGUGAGGGAAAGGUGAAAAGAACCCCGGGAGGGGAGUGAAAGAGAACCUGAAACCAUAUGCCUACAAGAAGUCAGAGCCCGUUAAAGGGUGAUGGCGUGCCUUUUGUAGAAUGAACCGGCGAGUUACUGUAUGGAGCGAGGUUAAGCAGGAUAUGCGGAGCCGAAGCGAAAGCGAGUCUUAAGAGGGCGCGAGUUGCAUGCAGUAGACCCGAAACCGGGUGAUCUAGCCAUGACCAGGUUGAAGUUGGGGUAAAACCCGAUGGAGGACCGAACCGACCCCCGUUGAAACGUUGGCGGAUGAGUUGUGGCUAGGGGUGAAAUUCCAAUCGAACCCGGAGAUAGCUGGUUCUCCCCGAAAUAGCUUUAGGGCUAGCGUCGAGAGAAGAGUUGCGUGAAGGUAGAGCACUGAAUAUGUGAUGGCCCCAUCUCGGGGUACUGAGCAUAAUCAAACUGCGAAUGUCACGCCAACAUGCUCGGCAGUCAGACAGCGGGUGAUAAGGUCCGUUGUCAAGAGGGAAACAGCCCAGACCAUCAGCUAAGGUCCCAAAAUGUAUGCUAAGUGGAAAAGGAUGUGGAGAUGUACAGACAACUAGGAGGUUGGCUCAGAAGCAGCCAUCCUUUAAAGAGUGCGUAACAGCUCACUAGUCGAAUGACUCUGCGCCGAUAAUUUACCGGGGCUAAGCAUACUACCGAAGCUAUGGAUCCCAAGGGAUGGUAGGGGAGCGUUCCAUGAACGGAGAAGUACGACCGAAAGGACGUGUGGAGAUCAUGGAAGAGAGAAUGCCGGUGUGAGUAGCGGAACGUGGGUGAGAAUCCCACGCACCGAAAACCCAAGGUUUCCAGAGGAAGGUUCGUCCGCUCUGGGUAAGUCGGGACCUAAGGCGAGGCCGAAAGGCGUAGUCGAUGGACAACAGGUAGAGAUUCCUGUACCCGUAUAUAUGUGAAGGAAUGACGGAGAGAGGAAGCUGCAGCCAGCGGCUGGAAGAGCUGGUGCAAGCGAGAUAUCGGGAUGGCAGGCAAAUCCACCAUCCGAAACGAGAAGGCGUGAAGCGUACGGAAAGCUACGGCGAGUACGGAAGGCAGUGGAGGAACUUCCAAGAAAAGUUUCUAACGUUAAGUAUAUAUGGCCCGUACCGAAAAUGGACACACAUGGGUGAGGAGAGAAUCCUAAGGUGAGCGAGAGAACUAUAGCUAAGGAACUCUGCAAAAUGACUCCGUAACUUAGGGAGAAGGAGUGCUCAUAGAGAUAUGAGCCGCAGUGAAACGGCCCAAGCGACUGUUUACCAAAAACACAGCUCUCUGCUAAGCCGCAAGGCGAAGUAUAGGGGGUGACGCCUGCCCGGUGCUGGAAGGUUAAGGGGAGGGGUUAACGCAAGUGAAGCCCUGAACUGAAGCCCCAGUAAACGGCGGCCGUAACUAUAACGGUCCUAAGGUAGCGAAAUUCCUUGUCAGGUAAGUUCUGACCCGC